UACGAAGGGGGCUAGCGUUGCUCGGAAUGACUGGGCGUAAAGGGCGCGUAGGCGGAUGACAUAGUCAGAUGUGAAAUUCCCGGGCUUAACCUGGGGGCUGCAUUUGAUACGUGUUGUCUAGAGUGAGGAAGAGGGUUGUGGAAUUCCCAGUGUAGAGGUGAAAUUCGUAGAUAUUGGGAAGAACACCGGUGGCGAAGGCGGCAACCUGGUCCUUGACUGACGCUGAGGCGCGAAAGCGUGGGGAGCAAACAGG
rnacentral:rRNA from 1 species